rnacentral:rRNA from 1 species
GCCAGACUCCUACGGGAGGCAGCAGUGGGGGAUAUUGCACAAUGGGGGAAACCCUGAUGCAGUGACGCCGCGUGGGUGAAGAAGUAUUUCGGUAUGUAAAGCCCUAUCAGCAGGGAAGAAAGAAGACGGUACCUGACUAAGAAGCCCCGGCUAACUACGUGCCAGCAGCCGCGGUAAUACGUAGGGGGCGAGCGUUAUCCGGAUUCACUGGGUGUAAGGGGAGCGUAGACGGCCGUGCAAGCCAGGAGUGAAAGCCCGGGGCCCAACCCCAGGACUGCUCUUGGAACUGUGCGGCUGGAGUGCGGGAGGGGCAGGCGGAAUUCCUGGUGUAGCGGUGAAAUGCGUAGAUAUCAGGAGGAACACCGGUGGCGAAGGCGGCCUGCUGGACUGCAACUGACGUUGAGGCCCGAAAGCGUGGGGAGCAAACAGGAUUAGAUACCCCUGUACA